rnacentral:rRNA from 1 species
AUUGAACGCUGGCGGCAUGCUUUACACAUGCAAGUCGAACGGCAGCGCGGGCUUCGGCCUGGCGGCGCGUGGCGAACGGGUGAGUAAUGCAUCGGAACGUGCCCAGUAGUGGGGGAUAGCCCGGCGAAAGACGGGUUGAUACCGCAUACGACCUGAGGGUGAAAGCGGGGGACCGAAAGGACUCGCGCUCUUGGAGCGGCCGAUGGCGGCUUAGCUAGUUGGUGGGGUAAAGGCUUACCAAGACGACGAUCCGUAGCUGGUCUGAGAGGACGGCCAGCCACACGGGGACUGGGACACGGACCAGACUCCUACGGGAGGCAGCAGUGGGGAAUGGUGGACAAUGGGGGCAACCCUGAUCCAGCCAUGCCGCGUGCGAGAAGAAGGCCUUCGGGUUGUAAACCGCUUUUGUUCGGGAAGAAAUCCUCUGGGCUAAUACCCCGGGGGGAUGACGGUACCGGAAGAAUAAGCACCGGCUAACUACGUG